rnacentral:rRNA from 1 species
GACGAACGCUGGCGGCGUGCUUAGCACAUGCAAGUCGAACGGAAAGGCCCUGCUUUUGUGGGGUGCUCGAGUGGCGAACGGGUGAGUAACACGUGAGUAACCUGCCCUUGACUUUGGGAUAACUUCAGGAAACUGGGGCUAAUACCGGAUAGGAGCUCCUGCUGCAUGGUGGGGGUUGGAAAGUUUCGGCGGUUGGGGAUGGACUCGCGGCUUAUCAGCUUGUUGGUGGGGUAGUGGCUUACCAAGGCUUUGACGGGUAGCCGGCCUGAGAGGGUGACCGGCCACAUUGGGACUGAGAUAAGGCCCAGACUCCUACGGGAGGCAGCAGUGGGGAAUAUUGCACAAUGGGCGGAAGGCUGAUGCAGCAACGCCGCGUGCGGGAUGACGGCCUUCGGGUUGUAAACCGCUUUCGCCUGUGACGAAGCGUGAGUGACGGUAAUGGGUAAAGAAGCACCGGCUAACUACGUG